ACAGCAACAGUCAAUCAUCCCUUAUGAUUUGCAUCUAAAUUUGUUAUGGCAGCAACUGUGGUUUGCCUAUUUUGGACCAAGUGACUUAUCUAUGAUAUAUGAAACUAAAAAGUUCUAUUUUAUUAGUGGACAACUGAUGGGUCAACUUUUUUAUGAUUGCUGGAUUUUCAUUACAAAAUAAUGAAGAAAGUUACAAGUUUUUUCCAGGAGGGGGUUCCAGAAUUUCAUUAUAUUGUUUGUUUGUCAUUUUUUACAGUCUGGAUCAUGAAAGUAGACAAACCUACUGGUUGAAGAUAUUAGCACACACUCAGAGGUUUGUGACAUCUACAGAGCCUCAGUCUAGCACUGGCAACACAGACUCAUCAUGAGUUGGGUAACUUUGAAGAAGGAUCUCCUGAGCAAGAUUGGUUCGUUAGGAGCAUACCCUAUAAAGAAACAGGCAGAAUGCAUGCACAGUCCACCUAGUAACUGCACUGUGUGUUACUACUGGCUGACUGACUACCUGGGGUCACUGACUGUCUGUAGAGUUUACGACUUGGCAGGCUGGCUGACCAACUGACUGUCUGGAUUGUUGACUCAGUGACUGAAUGAGCUGGGGAGUGAGUGAAUGAGUAACUUCUAAAGUUACGAGUCCAAGUCGAGGAUACGUUCUAUUUUGGUACUGCAAAGAUUGCCAGUUAAAAAAACAAGGGCAAGAGAGAAGAAACUAUUUUGCAAUUUGUUUGAGGUACAUUACCAUUAUGAACUUCACGGAACACUGUAAGUGGUUUCAAUGUAAAUAUUUUAUUGAUGUGCUG